rnacentral:rRNA from 1 species
GAUGAACGCUGGCGGCGUGCCUAAUACAUGCAAGUCGAGCGAACAGACGAGGAGCUUGCUCCUCUGACGUUAGCGGCGGACGGGUGAGUAACACGUGGAUAACCUACCUAUAAGACUGGGAUAACUUCGGGAAACCGGAGCUAAUACCGGAUAACAUGUUGAACCGCAUGGUUCAACAGUGAAAGACGGUCUUGCUGUCACUUAUAGAUGGAUCCGCGCCGCAUUAGCUAGUUGGUAAGGUGACGGCUUACCAAGGCAACGAUGCGUAGCCGACCUGAGAGGGUGAUCGGCCACACUGGAACUGAGACACGGUCCAGACUCCUACGGGAGGCAGCAGUAGGGAAUCUUCCGCAAUGGGCGAAAGCCUGACGGAGCAACGCCGCGUGAGUGAAGAAGGUCUUCGGAUCGUAAAACUCUGUUAUUAGGGAAGAACAAAUGUGUAAGUAACUAUGCACGUCCUGACGGUACCUAAUCAGAAAGCCACGGCUAACUACGUG